UACGAAGGGAGCGAGCGUUGUUCGGAAUCACUGGGCUUAAAGCGUGCGUAGGCGGAUAUGUAAGUCAGAAGUGAAAUCCCGGGGCUUAACCCCGGAACUGCUUUUGAGACUGCAAGUCUAGAAUUCGGUAGAGGUUAGUGGAAUAUCCAGUGUAGAGGUGAAAUUCGCAGAUAUUGGAUGGAACACCAGUGGCGAAGGCGACUAACUGGGCCGACAUUGACGCUGAGGCACGAAAGCGUGGGUAGCAAACAGG
rnacentral:rRNA from 2 species